AAAAACGUAGAAGAAAGCAAGAGAUAUGUAAUAUGUUUGGAUCAAAUGUAGUAUCAGAUGUUUUGCAAGAAAAGUUUUCGGAAAUCCACUUAAUUCUAUGUUUUUCACACUUAAUUAUGGUAGACUUUGGAUGGUAUUUGUUGACAGAAUUUAGUACAUCAUCAAUUUUUUAAAAUUAAUUUUUAACUAUAAUAUCUAGGGGUAUCAAAAUGGGUAACCCAACUCAACUCAUAAUCAAAUGAGUUUAGGGUUAAAUGAGUUAUGAGUUUAGGGUUAAAUGAGUUAUGAGUUGACCCAACUCAUUUAAUUAGAUGGGUUGAGUUGUUAAAUGGGCUAACCCAUUUAAGUAAUAAUUUAAUUAAUUAUUAUUAUAAAACAAUAAUAAAUAAUUAUCAUCAAACUUAGGAUAUUUACGGAUUCCACUUUUUACGGAUUUACGUUUUUGGCGGGAAAACCACGGGUUUACAUUUUUUGGCGGAAAAUUAUGGGUUUACGUUUUUGGCGGGAAAAUCAUGGGUUUACGUUUUUGGCGGGAAAAUCACGGACUUACGUUUUUGGCGGGAAAAUCAUGGGUUUACGUUUUUGGCGGGAAAAUCACGGACUUACGUUUUUGGCGGGAAAAUCACGGGUUUACGUUUUUGGCGGGAAAAUCACGGGUUUACGUUUUUGGCGGGAAAAUCAUGGGUUUACGUUUUUGGUGGGAAAAUUACGGGUUUAUGUUUUUUGAAGGGAAAAAUUAUGAGUUUACGUUUUUGGCGGGAAAAUUACGGAUUUACGUUUUUGGCGGGAAAAUUACGGGUUUACGUUUUUUGGCGGGAAAAUUAUGAGUUUACGUUUUUGGCGGGAAAAUUACAGAUUUACGUUUUUGGCGAGAAAAUCACAGGUUUAUGUUUUUGGCGGGAAAAUUACGGGUUUACGUUUUUGGCAGGAAAAUCACGGGUUUAUGUUUUUGGCGGGAAAAUUAUGGAUUUACGUUUUUGGCGGAAAAAUCUCGGGUUUACGUUUUUGGCGGAAAAAUCACGGGUUUAAGUUUUUGGUAGGAAAAUCACGGGUUUAUGUUUUUUGGUGGAAAAUUACGAGUUUACUUUUUUCUCAAUUUCAUCGUUUGUAUAUUUAAGAAAUUUUGAAA
rnacentral:sRNA from 1 species